rnacentral:rRNA from 1 species
AAUCCUGUAGUCGAAAAUGUUGUCUCUCUUGAGUGGAUCCUGAGUACGACGGAGCACGUGAAAUUCCGUCGGAAUCUGGGAGGACCAUCUCCUAAGGCUAAAUACUCUCUAGUGACCGAUAGUGAACCAGUACCGUGAGGGAAAGGUGAAAAGCACCCCGGAAGGGGAGUGAAAUAGAACCUGAAACCGUGUGCUUACAAGUAGUCAGAGCCCGUUAAUGGGUGAUGGCGUGCCUUUUGUAGAAUGAACCGGCGAGUUACGAUUUGAUGCAAGGUUAAGCAGUAAAUGUGGAGCCGUAGCGAAAGCGAGUCUGAAUAGGGCGUUUAGUAUUUGGUCGUAGACCCGAAACCAGGUGAUCUACCCUUGGUCAGGUUGAAGUUCAGGUAACACUGAAUGGAGGACCGAACCGACUUACGUUGAAAAGUGAGCGGAUGAACUGAGGGUAGCGGAGAAAUUCCAAUCGAACCUGGAGAUAGCUGGUUCUCUCCGAAAUAGCUUUAGGGCUAGCCUCAAGUGAUGAUUAUUGGAGGUAGAGCACUGUUUGGACGAGGGGCCCCUCUCGGGUUACCGAAUUCAGACAAACUCCGAAUGCCAAUUAAUUUAACUUGGGAGUCAGAACAUGGGUGAUAAGGUCCGUGUUCGAAAGGGAAACAGCCCAGACCACCAGCUAAGGUCCCAAAAUAUAUGUUAAGUGGAAAAGGAUGUGGCGUUGCCCAGACAACUAGGAUGUUGGCUUAGAAGCAGCCAUCAUUUAAAGAGUGCGUAAUAGCUCACUAGUCGAGUGACACUGCGCCGAAAAUGUACCGGGGCUAAACAUAUUACCGAAGCUGUGGAUUGUCCUUUGGACAAUGGUAGGAGAGCGUUCUAAGGGCGUUGAAGCAUGAUCGUAAGGACAUGUGGAGCGCUUAGAAGUGAGAAUGCCGGUGUGAGUAGCGAAAGACGGGUGAGAAUCCCGUCCACCGAUUGACUAAGGUUUCCAGAGGAAGGCUCGUCCGCUCUGGGUUAGUCGGGUCCUAAGCUGAGGCCGACAGGCGUAGGCGAUGGAUAACAGGUUGAUAUUCCUGUACCACCUAUAAUCGUUUUAAUCGAUGGGGGGACGCAGUAGGAUAGGCGAAGCGUGCGAUUGGAUUGCACGUCUAAGCAGUAAGGCUGAGUAUUAGGCAAAUCCGGUACUCGUUAAGGCUGAGCUGUGAUGGGGAGAAGACAUUGUGUCUUCGAGUCGUUGAUUUCACACUGCCGAGAAAAGCCUCUAGAUAGAAAAUAGGUGCCCGUACCGCAAACCGACACAGGUAGUCAAGAUGAGAAUUCUAAGGUGAGCGAGCGAACUCUCGUUAAGGAACUCGGCAAAAUGACCCCGUAACUUCGGGAGAAGGGGUGCUCUUUAGGGUUAACGCCCAGAAGAGCCGCAGUGAAUAGGCCCAAGCGACUGUUUAUCAAAAACACAGGUCUCUGCUAAACCGUAAGGUGAUGUAUAGGGGCUGACGCCUGCCCGGUGCUGGAAGGUUAAGAGGAGUGGUUAGCUUCUGCGAAGCUACGAAUCGAAGCCCCAGUAAACGGCGGCCGUAACUAUAACGGUCCUAAGGUAGCGAAAUUCCUUGUCGGGUAAGUUCCGACCCGCACGAAAGGCGUAACGAUUUGGGCACUGUCUCAACGAGAGACUCGGUGAAAUCAUAGUACCUGUGAAGAUGCAGGUUACCCGCGACAGGACGGAAAGACCCCGUGGAGCUUUACUGUAGCCUGAUAUU